UCUACAAUUAAAACCUUACUAAUGUUCACGAACCCAUAAAGGCAGACGUUCACAUGGUUUGAAUUGUACCACGAACAUGCAAGUUUUUUCGUAAUGUACGAUUUACAGGUAAAUAAAAAACUUUGACGUUAACAGUAUCUUAUUUGAAACUCAAUGGCGUAAAAAAUUUAACUAGCGAGUGCUCCAGAUUUGAUUUAACAAUGCAAGUAGCUGAAACAAAACAACUACUUAAUUAUUUUACAUCUUUAACACUGGAUUUGGCACACAGUUAUA
rnacentral:lncRNA from 1 species